UACGUAGGGUGCAAGCGUUGUCCGGAAUUAUUGGGCGUAAAGAGCUUGUAGGCGGUUUGUCGCGUCUGCUGUGAAAUUUCGGGGCUCAACCCCGAACCUUGCAGUGGGUACGGGCAGACUAGAGUGUGGUAGGGGAGACUGGAAUUCCUGGUGUAGCGGUGAAAUGCGCAGAUAUCAGGAGGAACACCGGUGGCGAAGGCGGUGGUCUGGGCCGGAACUGACGCUGAGGAGCGAAAGCGUGGGGAGCGAACAGG
rnacentral:rRNA from 1 species